UACGUAGGGUGCGAGCGUUGUCCGGAAUUAUUGGGCGUAAAGAGCUCGUAGGCGGUCUGUCGCGUCGAUCGUGAAAACUUGGGGCUUAACCCUGAGCUUGCGGUCGAUACGGGCAUGACUGGAGUUCGGCAGGGGAGACUGGAAUUCCUGGUGUAGCGGUGAAAUGCGCAGAUAUCAGGAGGAACACCGGUGGCGAAGGCGGGUCUCUGGGCCGAUACUGACGCUGAGGUGCGAAAGCAUGGGGAGCGAACAGG
rnacentral:rRNA from 1 species